AAAGAUGAAUGCGGAUGUGUAAACAACAAACACAUGUAUUAGUUUAACGCUAGGGAAGUGAGAAAGGCUUUUACGUUUUGAACCUGCGUUCUUCGACAGAAUGGAACACAGAAAUAAACAGGGAGAGAAAA